CCGGCGACCGGCGGACGGGUGCGUAACGCGUAUGUAACCUACCUUUGACAGGGGGAUAACAUCGAGAAAUUGGUACUAAUACCCCAUAACAUCACCGGAGGCAUCUUCGGUGGUUGAAAACUCAGGUGGUCAGAGAUGGACAUGCGUUGUAUUAGCUAGUUGGUGAGGUAACGGGCUCACCAAGGCGACGAUACAUAGGGGGACUGAGAGGUCAACCCCCCCACAUUGGUACUGAGACACGGACCAAACUCCUACGGAAGGCAGCAG
rnacentral:rRNA from 1 species